rnacentral:sRNA from 1 species
ACACACAUAUAUUAGUUGCCGCUAGCUGCUAGAUAGAUAAACAACCAAUCAAGGUUCAACUCUCUUACAAGUUAUGAAGCCCUUGCACUUCUACAAGUGUUUGAUAUCAUGCAAUAAUCUCUUUAAUAACUGCUUCUUUUGUUAAAGAACCUCUUCCUCUAUUCAUUUUGAUACCCUGAUACCUCAAUACUCGAUAUCUUCAACGAUAAAUCAAAUGCCAGUCAGUACGCGAGCAACCAACCGCAAAGAAACAUGGGAUUCAAAGGUUGGAUUUCAUGAGAGAAAUGAUGAUGCCAGGCCCCAGUGCCUACAAUGCUAAUACCCAUAACCUUGUGGUAUCAACGAUAUUGCGGAUAUAACCAUACCCAUAACCCUGUGGUAUCAACAAUAUCGCAGAUAUAAUCAUAGCCAUAACCCCAUGGUGUUCACAACAUCACAAAUAUAACCAUACCAAUAACCAAGAACAAUGGAACGAUAACAACAAAAACCAACAAAAUAUGAGAUCCGACAGCAUUAGGAUGACUGAGGGGGUACUACAGAUACAGGAAGGGUGGAUUUGCAUUUUUCUUGCAUGUUUUUAUGUAUUUGCAUGUAUGGGCCUAGUCCUUAUGAGGAAACUAGAUGCCAGUAUUUGUAAUUAAUUAUUAUUACAGGUUUGAAUAAUUUGGGCGUUUUCGUGGCUGCGUGGGGGUGUUGGAGGUCCUAUCGAGGUACACAAGCCCUACCCCACGUGACCCCCACACACAUCCAUUAUUAGUUGCCGCUAGCUGCUUGAU